GCAUAUGAAGUAUCUAUGUUCCUUAUGGUGCCGAAAAUGAGGAAAUCAGGGAGAGGAAGCAAGCCCUCAGCUUUGAGACUCAUUGCUGUUGUUGCGGAUGGAAUAAUACCUACAGCAGUAGAAUUCCUGAAGUUGUACCUGGGCAUCACCUCGUUCGGCUGGAAGUAUUUCUCCCGCACUCUCUUGCAGCUCAGUAUGACCAAAUGCCUAACCUCUGGCGACUGGAAGUAAAUACAAGUGAUUUCACGUGGUGGCCUCCCAAAGACAUCCUGGACUCUUCUCAUAAGGAUGUGAAUGACUUUACUAGCUCACAAGGCUUACAUCAUCACACUAUACCAUCUGAGGAAAGAGAGAGUCUAUGUCAGAAUUCCCAGGAAAAGUCCAACCACACUCAUCUAACAAAGAUGAAAUAUCUACUCUAUUAGUCCC